CCAAGAGCUGGAUCUCAGUCACAGUGUCUCAUUCAGGAUCUCAGAUCGCUGUCCUCCACACACUCACUUCUGUACUGGCAGUUUGUCCAUAUCUGCUCGUGACAGUCGUGCUGAUCUUCAAAUGCUGCAGGAUGAGAGUCUGAUCUUUAUCUGUCAUGAUGGUGAGGAAACUUCAGCUUCAUCCUGGAGUCUCUCAGUGUCUCAGUUCAGAUUGAACAUGCUUGCUGUAAAAGUCAUGUUUUGGGAGUGACUCCUUUUGGCAUCUCACAGUUGUUUAAGUCUACAUGAACCUGCAUCACAACUCUUUUGACUUCUGAGUUAAACAGAAUACUCAAUGAGAAAAUGUGUAGAGAAGAAUUUGAUUUUAUCAAUCAGGAAUUAUUUGGAAUAAAAAAAAAAAAAAGCCUGAUAUGUACACUUACUGGCCACUUUAUUAGGUACACCUGUUCAAUUGCUUGGUAACAUAAAUUGCUAAUUAGCCAAUAACAUGGCAGCAACUCAAUGCAUUUAGGCAUCUAAAUGCCUUGUUGAUGUCAGAGGAGAACGGCAGACUGGUUAGAGAUGAUAGAAAGUCAACAGUAACUCAAAUAACCACUCGUUACAACCAAGGUAUGCAGAAGGCCAUCUCUGAACUCACAACACGUCAAACCCUGAAGCAGAAUCAUAUAUAUAUAUUUUUUUUUU